CCUACGGGAGGCAGCAGUGGGGAAUAUUGCACAAUGGGGGAAACCCUGAUGCAGCGACGCCGCGUGAGCGAUGACGUCUUUCGGUAUGUAAAGCUCUAUCUUCAGGGAAGAAAAUGACGGUACCUGACUAAGAAGCCCCGGCUAACUACGUGCCAGCAGCCGCGGUAAUACGUAGGGGGCAAGCGUUAUCCGGAUUUACUGGGCGUAAAGGGAGCGUAGACGGUUGUGCAAGCCAGAUGUGAAAGCCUGCGGCUCAACCGUAGAAGUGCAUUUGGAACUGGCAGUCUUGAGUGUAGGAGAGGAAGGCGGAAUUCCUAGUGUAGCGGUGAAAUGCGUAGAUAUUAGGAAGAACACCAGUGGCGAAGGCGGCCUGCUGGACGAUGACUGACGUUGAGGCUCGAAAGCGUGGGGAGCAAACAGGAUUAGAUACCCCUGUAGUC
rnacentral:rRNA from 1 species